rnacentral:lncRNA from 1 species
GUGCACGCAAGCGUGUGCACACACCACCUGUCUGUGUGGGUUCACGUACUGUGUUAGCCAUGUCAGCAAUAGACACAUCACCUUGUACACGCGUGUUCCAUCACUAGGUACACAUGUUGAUGCGUGUCUGUGCAGUGUCUCCUUGAACACACAUGUAUGUGUGGUACCAGUGUGUGCAGGCAUGUUUGUGCAUGAACAUGUUUGCACAUGUGUGCUUGAUUGUGUAUGUGUGGGUGUGCACGCGCGCGCUGGGUCUCUUGGGAUCUGCUGGCAAGUCAGCAUGUGUGUGGAGGCACGGGGAGCCUCUGUAUCCCUGGAGCCCUCACCAGGAGGCUCAGGAGCCUUGGAGUGGGAGGCUCAGGGCCAGCCAGGAGAGUGGCCGCCAGCCCUGGGCAGAGGAACUGGGGCCAUCCUCUGCUCUCCCAUCUUCUGUUGCUGACCUGGGAAAAGGGGUUGAAUAACUUGAGCACCCUAGGAUCCUGCAUUGAGGACCCGGGCUGUGGGGAGGUGUGGGCAUGGCCUCCCUGCUGGGGGCUGGACCCUGGCUGAAGCACCCACCUUCUCCCUGGCCCCUCCGUCAGAAGCCUAAUGGACCUCCUCCUCCACGCAGACGGCCCUGUACUGCCCUCUUCCAGUCGUGUGGGGGUGCUGGAACCCACUCACCUCUGGGCCUUCUCUCUGGUAACCGGCUCUCAUGGGAGCCUGUUACAGGAGCCAGUUAUGGGGGCUGUGGGGCUGCAGUAGGUGCCGUAGAGUGACUGCCCUGGGAAAGUGCCUCACCCCUGUGGGGCAUGGACUGGAGUGGGGAGAUGAGAAUGGCCUGGCCCAGUGGGUUUUGGGGUUAGGCUGUGAUUUAACUGGGGUUCGAG